GAUAAUAACCAAUGCAACCAGUCUGUGUUUAAAGAUUAGAUAAAUAUUAUCUAAAUUUAUCUAUUAUAAUAAAUAGGCAAGUUUAGUCCUACAGUGAUAGAUAGUGCUUCUCCCGACCCCAUCCAACCAUAAAGUAAGACUCUUCGGAGACACAGGAGGCCAUCAGGAGUCCAGAGCAGCCUACAGGGAAGGCAAAGGGGUGGAAGAUGCCCGACACACACUAUGUGCAUGUGCCAGCUCCCCAGAGUGGAAGUAACUAGCCAGCAUUUGUUGCAAACUAGUAAUAAAAAUGCAAAUUCAAGUUUUAAAUAAAAUUUUUAUCUCUGAACAUCACAGUUGUUGGCGCACAUGCAUUUGGCAAGACAAAAACAGCAGAGGGCUCCAUAAAGAAAGGGAUGGAUUUUUUUUUCCUCUGUGAUAUCACAGGGCGUGGCAGGACAGCAGAAGCUUCAGGUCAACUGAGCGGUUUCUGAAUUGUUAAGCGUGCUACCUUCUGCCUUGCCCCACAUAGAACAGAAAUAUCGCAGCUGGAACAGAUGCUGUUAGCAGGUGACACAGCUCACAAUUCUCUUGGCUGUUCUGCUCCCCAAUCGAAGAGACGAAACCAGUCUGUGGUACUCUGAGAGGAGCAACCGAAAAAGAGUGUCUCAUUCAGCUGUGGGCAGCUUGAGCUUGGGUCCACUUGGAACUUUCUGGAGAGCCAUGCAGAAUGUGCCCCAGAAUUGUCUCAUGAAGGAACUACAGGAAUUGGGAUAUUACAUGUGACAUGGAGAUUUGAAAUGUACUUGAAGAGCCAUGUUUGUCCUCUUGAUCGUCUGUCACUGCCAAGAAAAGGGUGGUGCAGGUGGUCACUGCCCCCUUUUCCUUGCACGUAGAAAAGAACCUAUGGAAUGGAGAUGGCCCUGCCAACUUGUAAACAAUUAGGAGAAUAGUGCUCAUUUGCAUAUGAUGCUGUGUUUGAAAGUGUCUCUUAGUUGUUUUUCUCAUUGCCAAGACAACAUACCCAACACCCAACAUUAAAGGAGGAAAGAUUUAUUGAGUUCACAGUUGACAGAGGUUUCGGCUCAUAGUUGACAGUCUCCAAGACAGGGUGGCAUGGCAGAGGGCAUCACAGAGGAGAAACAGUUCAUGGCAGACAGAAGGCUGCAAGCAGCAAACUACAAGUGACAAGCAGUGACCCUCUUUCUGCCCCUCAUAUCUUAUCCAGAUUGCCCACCCUUAGGGCGGGGAGCACUCACACUCAUGGGGUACAGCUUUAAUCUUAGUGUCACACCGUGAAUCAAGGCCAGCAUCACAUCCUCGGUCCCAUCAGCACACACCCUACACCAGCCACCUCUGAAAAGCCCCUCCUAUGACUAUGGGAGGCUUCGGGGGACAUCAAGAUGCAAGACAUAGCCAGGGAUUUAGCUCAGCAGCAUAAGCACCCGCCUGGCCAACAUGGAGUCACAA